GCUAGUAAUCGCGGAUCAGCAUGCCGCGGUGAAUACGUUCCCGGGCCUUGUACACACCGCCCGUCACACCAUGGGAGUUGGGAGCGCCCGAAGCCGGUGAGGUAACCGAGAGGAGCCAGCCGUCGAAGGUGAGACCAAUGACUGGGGUGAAGUCGUAACAAGGUAAC
rnacentral:rRNA from 1 species